rnacentral:rRNA from 1 species
GACGAACGCUGGCGGCGUGCUUAACACAUGCAAGUCGAACGGAAAGGCCCUGCUUUUGUGGGGUGCUCGAGUGGCGAACGGGUGAGUAACACGUGAGUAACCUGCCCUUGACUUUGGGAUAACUUCAGGAAACUGGGGCUAAUACCGGAUAGGAGCUCCUGCUGCAUGGUGGGGGUUGGAAAGUUUCGGCGGUUGGGGAUGGACUCGCGGCUUAUCAGCUUGUUGGUGGGGUAGUGGCUUACCAAGGCUUUGACGGGUAGCCGGCCUGAGAGGGUGACCGGCCACAUUGGGACUGAGAUACGGCCCAGACGCCUACGGGAGGCAGCAGUGGGGAAUAUUGCACAAUGGGCGGAAGCCUGAUGCAGCAACGCCGCGUGCGGGAUGACGGCCUUCGGGUUGUAAACCGCUUUCGCCUGUGACGAAGCGUGAGUGACGGUAAUGGGUAGAGAAGCACCGGCUAGCUACGUG